rnacentral:misc_RNA from 1 species
GGAACAGCAGCAAGAACCUAGACAUGGAGGAAUCCAAGGAAAACCUUCCAUCGACAAGCUCCAUGCAAGAAGUGACAGUUCAGUCCUGAUUUCACACUUGUGUGGGGCAUUUACUAGCCUAGUUUCUAUUCAUGUGACAGUUAGCUUAAAGAAGGCUAAAGGUAUACUGUCAGUGCAUGUUUAAUUUUAAGGCAUGCUUGUAAUUUGUAAUUGAGAACUAUUUUUUAGUGUGAAAACCACUCAGUUUCAAUCAAUCAUAUCAACUUUUUAUACUGCAGAAGCUGCAAAAUUCAUUGUUUUCAUUGACAUUGUUAAUGACAAAACAAAAGUGAUGGAAUUCAUCAACAAGAAUGUGGCUGUCUGAACUUUUUUUUCUCCAACAUCUGUCCAUUUGCAGACCAUACAGAUUUAAAAAUUUGCAAAAAUUUUAAAAUCCCAAAUUUUUACUGGAAUGUCAUUUAAAAAAAUCAUUUUUAUAUGUAGACUGAUACAGACUUUCGGUGUGUUCAUUAAAAAAGUGAAAUGU